GAUGAAGAACGCAGCGAAAUGCGAUACGUAGUGUGAAUUGCAGAAUUCAGUGAAUCAUCGAAUCUUUGAACGCACAUUGCGCCGGCCAGUAGUCUGGCGGGCAUGCCUGUUCGAGCGUCAUUACAACCCUCAGGCCCCCGGGCCUGGCGUUGGGGAUCGGCGGAGCCCCCCGUGGGCACACGCCGUCCCCCAAAUACAGUGGCGGUCCCGCCGCAGCUUCCAUCGCGUAGUAGCUAACACCUCGCGCCUGGAGAGCGGCGCGGCCACGCCGUAAAACACCCAACUCUUCUGAAGUUGACCUCGAAUCAGGUAGGAAUACCCGCUGAACUUAAGCAUAUCAAUAAGCGGAGGA
rnacentral:misc_RNA from 1 species